UAGAGUCAGGCAGAUCUCUAUGAGUUCGAGGCCAGCCUGGUCUACAGAGUGAGUUCCAGGACAGCCAGGGCUACACAGAGAAACCCUGUCUCAAGAA
rnacentral:miRNA from 1 species